rnacentral:rRNA from 1 species
UCCGGAGGGUGCGAGCGUUGUUCGGAAUUACUGGGCGUAAAGCGCGUGUAGGCGGCCUCUUAAGUCUGGUGUGAAAGCCCGGGGCUUACCCCCGGAAGGGCACUGGAGACUGGGAGGCUUGAGUACCGGAGAGGAAGGUGGAAUUCCUGGUGUAGCGGUGAAAUGCGUAGAUAUCAGGAGGAACACCGGUGGCGAAGGCGGCCUUCUGGACGGCUACUGACGCUGAGACGCGAAAGCGUGGGGAGAAAACAGG